rnacentral:rRNA from 1 species
AUAUACUCCAUAGAUUAGAGACACUGGAAUGUUCUUUAGUCGAAAGUUCUGGCGCCUUAGGAUGGAUCUGCGGUCGAUUAGGUUGUUGUUGGGGUAACGGCCCAACAAGCCUGUAAUCGAUACGGGUUGUGGGAGCAAGAGCCCGGAGAUGGAAUCUGGGACACGAUUCCAGGCCCUACGGGGCGCAGCAGGCGCGAAAACUUUACAAUGCAGGAAACUGUGAUAAGGGAACUCCGAGUGCCCGUAUACGCGGGCUGUCCAGGUGUUUAAAAAUCAUCUGAAGAAAGGGCCGGGCAAGACCGGUACCAGCCGCCGCGGUAAUACCGGCGGCUCGAGUGGUGGCCACUAUUAUUGGGCUUAAAGCGUCCGUAGCUGGACCGAUAAGUCUCUUGGGAAAUCCGCCGGCUCAACCGGCGGGCGUCUAAGGGAUACUGUUAGUCUAGGGACCGGGAGAGGUGAGAGGUACUCCGGGGGUAGGAGUGAAAUCCUGUAAUCCCCGGGGGACCACCGAUGGCGAAGGCAUCUCACCAGAACGGCUCCGACAGUGAGGGACGAAAGCUGGGGGAGCGAACCGGAUUAGAUACCCGGGUAGUCCCGGCCGUAAACUAUGCGCGUUAGGUGU